AUGGGAUACUUGGGGCUGGGGGGGGCGCAAAGUGGAGUAAGGCAGACCCCAAACUGGGGGCUGAGCAUCCCAAACUGGAGCAGCGUGGGCUGGAGGGGGAAAGGUCUGCUGGAUGCUCCUGGGCCACGCGGCUUGCUGAUGCUGAGGACUGCAAAUUGUGCAGAAAGGACUUCCAGCAGAGGAGGUGCAGGCACCUGGGUGCUGCAGGGGCAGAGCACCCCCCCGGGAGCCAGUGACCGCCCUGAUCCAAGCCAAAGCUGCAGGAGGUCCUGUCUGACAGUAAUUGGCCGCCGCUGCCUGGCUGCUGUUUUCGCUUUAACAGUACCGCACCGAAUAAAUGGCCCCGUGUUGCUAUCAGCAGCUUUCUGCACGCCGGGUCCGGCGUGGGUUAUUUUAUCUCGUGGAAAGGAAUUCUGCAGAUGGCACAAAAAGCCGGACAGCGCUGCCCUAAUAAAAACAGGGAAUUGUUAGCACCGCGCUAAUGAAAAUGUGCUGUCGGUGGGGAAGCUCUCAGCCUUUUGGAGAGCCAGGCAGGUCUGUAGAUUCCCACCUGAAAGGCAGCAGAGCUGAGGAAUUAUUUGGCAUUUCCAGGGUCUGCAGCUCCUCUGAGCACAGGGACCAAGGACCGGCACCGGUCCCCACAUCAUCCUGGGGCCGUCUGGGGAGCAUCCUAUGGGUUUGGGCAGAGAUGCUCCACCUGCCUUCAUCCCUGAGCAUCACUCAGACAAAAAUUUUUUAAAAGAGAGGAAAAAAAAAAGAAAGAAACCGCGAAAAAAAAAGGCACCAAAAUCCUUCACUCCAGCGCUUUCAUGUCUCCAGCAAUUGGCAACAGUUUAACGUGUAUAUAUCACUAACGCAGUUUUAUGAGCUCCGGUCCCAGUGGCAUCAUUUUUUUAAAAUCCCUUUUCCAGGGUAAUUGCUGUUUGUUUUGUCAUUUCUCAGUGGACAAUUACAGUUCAAAAACAAGAGAGCCUUUGAAGAUCGCGAGCAGAGUCUGUGAGCUUCAUUAACACGCUUUUAAUACGCUGUGGAAACGCACUUGAACUUACCUGCCCGAGGCCUCAGACAGAAAAAUCUGGCUUUGCAAAGCACCGAUUAUUUGAUCUAUUUAAAAUACUUCCAGUAUUAGCCUGGUCUCCUGGAUACAUUACAACGUCAGCAGUUUGGGAGGUUGAAAUAGCUCCUCUAGGUCAUUAAAAAAAAAAAAAUCUUCUGCCGUUCUCUAAUUCCCAGGAACUGGAGCCUCUGCGUGGUGAAUACCACCACUGUGAGUACCACGUGGCCCCUUUCCGACACCUUCUUGUGACCAAUUUUGGGAAUAAAGCAAUAGGAAGAAUAGAAAAAGGUUUUUAU
rnacentral:lncRNA from 1 species